GAUGAUACAAUUCCAUUCCUGACUUUCCAUGUCUGGAAUAGACUUUCCAACAUUCCAUGAUAUUCCAGAAGUUCCAUGAUCCGUGGGAGCCCUAGGGUGCCUUGCUCAAGGGCACUUCA